CACGUAGGGCGCAAGCGUUGUCCGGAAUUAUUGGGCGUAAAGAGCUCGUAGGCGGUCUGUUGCGUCUGCUGUGAAAACUCGGGGCUUAACCCCGAGCCUGCAGUGGAUACGGGCAGACUAGAGGUAGGUAGGGGAGAAUGGAAUUCCCGGUGUAGCGGUGAAAUGCGCAGAUAUCGGGAGGAACACCGGUGGCGAAGGCGGUUCUCUGGGCCUUACCUGACGCCGAGGAGCGAAAGCGUGGGGAGCGAACAGG
rnacentral:rRNA from 1 species